UCCUCACCUACGACAUUGCUAAAGUCCUUUUCCACUCUGAAACACGGGGCUGAGUCACCCCUAAAUUUCCAUGACACUCCCUGGAGUAGAACCAAAGCCAUGUGCUGGACUCGAGUAGUUCUGGUUUAGAGCCUGGGGUCCACCAGACUCAGCCUUUUUUUUCUUUUUGUUUUUUGAGACAGAGUCUCACUCUGUCACCCAGACGAGUUCAGUGGCACGUUUACAGCUCAGUGCAGCCUUUACCUCCCAGGCUCAGGUGAUCCUCCCACUUUAGCCUCCCAAGUACCUGGGACUACAGGUGUGCACCAGCACUCCUGGCUAAUUAUUUUGCUUUUUUUGGUAGAGAUGCAGUCUCGCCAUGUUGCUCAGGGUGGUCUUGAACCUCUGGGCUCAGGCCCUCCUCGGCCUCCCAAAGUUCUGGGAUUACAGGUAUGAGCCACUGGCACCCAGCCCCUGCCUCAGGCUUUUUCAACCAUGGCUAAGACAUGAACUUCUCCACGGCUCAGGGUUCCAUUGCCCUCCCCUCCCCAGCCCCACAGAGAUAGAUCAGAGGAACGCAGCAGACGACACCUCACGGAAGGAGGAAACUCAGAAUCUUCUAGAAACAAAAACGUACCCAACAGGCUGGGAAGUAAGGCCUCCCAGCCAUUAGAAGGAUGGAAGCACCGGGCAGGGAUGGCCACACUGAGGGAACCUUCUGGCUCCUGGCGACCCAGUUUGGCAGGGCAGGACGCCCUCUCCCGAGACCUUCAAGUGACCAGCGAUCUCAGGACGAAGCUCCUCACACCCUGCCCGGCAGGCCCGACGGCACCAUCCCUGCAAAGAAGUCGGGGGGUGAGCGUGGCGUGCGAGGAGAGGGGCCGGCGACACCAGCCAGAGAACACGUUCCCCUCUUGCGCUGAACGCCAGAAUGGGAGACACUUCACCAUCAAGACAGCCACAAUCUGGAUUUGGCGUGGUGGCUCACGCCUGUAAUCCCAGCACUUUGGGAGGCCGAGGCGGGAGGAUCACCUGUGGUCAGGAGUUCGAGACCAGACUGGCCAACAUGGGGAAACCCUGUCUCUACUAAAAAUACAAAAAUCAGCGGGUCAUGGUGGCUGAGUAAUCCCAGAUACUCAGAAGGCUGAGGCAGGAGAAUCUCUCCAACCCGGGAGGCAGAGGUUGCAGUGAGCGGAGAUUGUGCCACUGCACUCCAGUCUGGGUGACAAAGUUAAGACUCCAUCUCAAAAAAUAACCAAAACAAACAAACAAACAAAAAGACAGCAGCAAUCUGAAUGGGAAAAUGGGCCAGUUGUCAGCAUGAGCCAUGCAACUGAAAGGAUGGGCUACACACAUAGGGCAGACCCAGGGUUUGUGGCGGCCAACAACCUCGACACUGGCAGAAGCAGAGUCCAAGACAGUGAAUGCAUAAUUAGGCUCAGAAGUUCAUAUUGACUGGGCAUGGGGAAGUUAAUCACAACAAAUAACAGAUUUUAAAAUAGGCUUUAUAUUUUAGAGCAGUUUUAGGUUCACAGUAAAAUUGAGCAGAAGGUCCUGAGAAUCUCCAUAUAUGCCCCGACCCACACACACAGCCUCCCCCACUAUCAUCACCAUCCCCCCACCCCAGAGUGGUGCAUUUGUUACAAUCGAUGAACCUACAUUGACUCGUCAUCAUCACCCAGAGUCCAUAUGUUAUAUUAGGGUUCAUCCUUGGUGUUGAACAUUCUGUGAAUUUUGGCAAAUGUGUAAUAACCUGUACCCACCAUUACAUUAUCAUACAGAGGAGUUUCACCGCCGUAAAAAUCCUCUGUGCUCAGCGUGUUCAUCCCUGCCUCCCCACAACCCCG
rnacentral:lncRNA from 1 species